UGGGGUGUCGUCCAAUGGCAGGACUCAUGACUCUGGAUCAUGCUAUCGGGGUUCAAAUCCCUGCACCCCAG
rnacentral:tRNA from 1 species